rnacentral:rRNA from 1 species
UAUUGGUCAAUGGGCGGGAGCCUGAACCAGCCAAGUCGCGUGAGGGAAGACGGUCCUAUGGAUUGUAAACCUCUUUAGGCGGGGAGCAAUGCCGGGCACGCGUGCCCGGAGGGAGAGUACCCGCAGAAUAAGCAUCGGCUAACUCCGUGCCAGCAGCCGCGGUAAUACGGAGGAUGCGAGCGUUAUCCGGAUUUAUUAGGUUUAAAGGGUGCGUAGGCUGUGAGGUAAGUCAGCGGUGAAAUGCCCCCGCUCAACGGGGUGAAGUGCCAUUGAUACUGCCUUGCUGGAAUGCGGAUGCCGUGGGAGGAAUGUGUGGUGUAGCGGUGAAAUGCAUAGAUAUCACACAGAACACCGAUUGCGAAGGCAUCUCACGAAUCCGCGAUUGACGCUGAUGCACGAAAGCGUGGGUAUCAAACAGG